rnacentral:sRNA from 1 species
ACAAAGCCACAGACCCAAGCAUGUCGGAACAGGAUUGGUCAGCUAUCCAGAAUUUCUGUGAGCAGCCCCACACAUGCGCCCUGGCUACUGGCCCACAAGAUCCAGUCUCCGCAAGAGAAGGAAGCUCUUUAUGCCUUAACGGUGAGUUUGGCUUGCCUUGUAGCCUAACCUUUCCUGUCCUUGUGCUAUAGAGAGCCGAGAGGCACUUUGCUUCCACGCAGAUCCUUUUCACUGGAGAAGGGAGGUCCCCUGAGAGGUUUACUUUCACAGCAGGUUGGAGGAGGGAGAUCUGGGCCAGGGUCCCCACCCUUCUUCCUCCUCUUUCUCGUCUG